CUUGGUCAUUUAGAGGAAGUAAAAGUCGUAACAAGGUUUCCGUAGGUGAACCUGCGGAAGGAUCAUUACAAGUGAGGCUACCGAACGUUGGAAACAGCGGUUAGGAGCUUACACCCACCCGUGUUUACAUACUAUUGUUGCUUUGGCGGGCCGUGGCCUCCACUGCGGGCUCUGCUCGUGUGUGCCCGCCAGAGAACCAAACUCUGAAUGUUAGUGAUGUCUGAGUACUAUCUAAUAGUUAAAACUUUCAACAACGGAUCUCUUGGUUCUGGCAUCGAUGAAGAACGCAGCGAAAUGCGAUAAGUAAUGUGAAUUGCAGAAUUCAGUGAAUCAUCGAAUCUUUGAACGCACAUUGCGCCCUGUGGUAUUCCGCAGGGCAUGCCUGUUCGAGCGUCAUUUAACCACUCACGCCUAGCGUGGUAUUGGGGCACGCGGUCUCCGCGGCCCUCAAAAUUAGUGGCGGCGCCGGUGGGCUCUAAGCGUAGUACAUACUCCCGCUAUAGAGUUCCCCCCGGUGGCUCGCCAGAACCCCCAAUUUUUUACAGGUUGACCUCGGAUCAGGUAGAGAUACCCGCUGAACUUAAGCAUAUCAAUAAGCGGAGGA
rnacentral:rRNA from 1 species